rnacentral:other from 1 species
UGUCCUCGGCAGUGUGCGACAGCGCAUUCCAACAUAUUGCCUUGUUCCUGUAGCGACCCCGGGACGGCCUCGCGCCGGUCGGUGUGCAAGUCCGCCUCGAGCGGAAAGCCUGAUGACCCGCGCCUGGCACUCCCACCUGAACCGAUGGUUCAAGGUCGUUAGGUGCGCAUCGGCACAGCGGAGGACGC